AGUGAACGCUGGCGGUAGGCCUAACACAUGCAAGUCGAACGGCAGCACAGUAGAGCUUGCUCUUACGGGUGGCCGGUGGCGGGCGGGGGGGGAAUACCACCGAAUCUACUUUUUCGUUGGGGAUAACGGAGGGAAACUUACGCUAAUUCCGCCUUCGAACUACGGGUUAAAACAAGGGAUCCUCGGAACUUUCCCGGAUGAAUGAGCCGAUGUCGGAUUAGCCAGUUGGCGGGGUAAAGGCCCACCAAGGCGACGAUCCGUAGCUGGUCUGAGAGGAUGAUCAGCCACACUGGAACUGAGACACGGUCCAGACUCCUACGGGAGGCAGCAGUGGGGAAUAUUGGACAAUGGGCGCAAGCCUGAUCCAGCCAUACCGCGUGGGUGAAGAAGGCCUUCGGGUUGUAAAGCCCUUUUGUUGGGAAAGAAAAGCAGCAGGUUAAUACCCCGCUGUUCUGACGGUACCCAAAGAAUAAGCACCGGCUAACUUCGUG
rnacentral:rRNA from 1 species